rnacentral:rRNA from 1 species
CCUGACGGUAGUCGUAUGCUCGUCUCCGAGACUAAGCCAUGCAAGUCCAAGUACACGUCCUUGAACGACGGAAACUGCGAACGGCUCAUUAAAUCAGUUGCGAUCUACUCGGCGUUCCGCGCCGCCGGAUAACCGUAGUAAUUCUAGGGCUAAUACGUGCGAAGCGCCCGAAGCCGCGAGGCGACGGGCGUUCUCGCCGGAUGUAGGAACCGACCCGGGGACCGCCGGGGCAACCCGGCGCCCCCGAGACGGGGCGAACCACGGUGAAAUGACGGAUCGUCGGCCCCGCGCCGGCGACUCGCCGAAUGAGUUUCUGACCUAUCAACUCGAGACGGCGGGGUAGAGGCCCGCCGCGGUAACGACGGGUAACGGGGAAUCAGGGUUCGAUUCCGGAGAGGGAGCCCGAGAAACGGCUACCACUUCCAAGGAAGGCAGCAGGCGCGCAACUUACCCUAAUCUCGAUUCGAGGAGGUAGUGACAAGAAAUACCG